GAUUACUUCGAGGAGAAUCCAACAUGUCCACCGCACCUCUUCCGGAGAAGGUACCGAAUGCGCCGAUCUCUCUUUGUGAAAAUUGCUCAAGCUUGCGAGGCCAAUUGUCAGUAUUUUACUCAAAAAAGAAAUGUCAUGGGCUUGAAGGGAUUUAGUGCAUAUAAAAAAAUCUCGCAACUAUGA
rnacentral:rRNA from 1 species